GACGAACGCUGGCGGCGUGCUUAACACAUGCAAGUCGAACGGAAAGGCCCCUUUGGGGGUACUCGAGUGGCGAACGGGUGAGUAACACGUGAGUAACCUGCCCUUGACUUCGGGAUAACUUCAGGAAACUGGGGCUAAUACCGGAUAGGAAUCCUUGCUGCAUGGUGGGGGUUGGAAAGCUUCGGCGGUUUUGGAUGGACUCGCGGCUUAUCAGCUUGUUGGUGGGGUAGUGGCUUACCAAGGCUUUGACGGGUAGCCGGCCUGAGAGGGCGACCGGCCACAUUGGGACUGAGAUACGGCCCAGACUCCUACGGGAGGCAGCAGGGGGGAAUAUUGCACAAUGGGCGGAAGCCUGAUGCAGCAACGCCGCGGGCGGGAGGACGGCCUUCGGGUUGUAAACCGCUUUCAGCAGGGGCGAAGCUUGUGGUGACGGUACCUGCAGAAGAAGCACCGGCUAACUACGUG
rnacentral:rRNA from 1 species